GGCCAAGUAGCUCAGUUGGUAGAGCAGCGGACUGAAAAUCCGCGUGUCCGUGGUUCGAUUCCGCGCUUGGCCA
rfam:Candidatus Accumulibacter phosphatis clade IIA str. TW-1, complete genome.